rnacentral:pre_miRNA from 1 species
AAUAACUCUAUUUUUCGGUUUUCCGUAUCCAACGUUUGACCAUUCGUCUUAUUUAAAAAAAUUUUACGAUUAAUAUUUUUUAUUAUUACUAGAUGAUAAAAUAUGAAUAAUAUUUUAUACGUGACUAAAUUUUUUAAGUUUUUGCACAAUUUUUUUAAAUAAAACGAAUGGUCAAACGUUGGACACGGAAAAAC